UUCGUGACGAAUCGUAUUUACUGUAAGUUCGCUCAUCUCUAGUUUUUAACCAACAACUACCAGCAUGCCAGGACAGCCAAAGGCCUUAUGGUGGGAGUCAUAUGAAACCAAUAUAGUGCAGUUUUUCCUAACCAGGGUGCCUCCAGCUGUUGCAAAACUACAACUCCCAUCAUGACAUGUGUUGCCAAUGUUGCCCUAUGCCAGUGUUUCCCCCAACAAGGUUGCCUCCAGCUGUUGCAAAACUACACCUUCCAGCAUGUUCGGCCAGCCAAAGGAUUUAUACUGGGAGUUGUAUGGAGCCUAUGUGGCUGUGUUAUCCAACCAGUGCCCCCAGCUGUUGCAAAACUACAACUCCCAGCAUGUCCGGACAGCCGUUGGCUGUCCGGACAUGCUGGGAGUUGUAGUUUUGCAACAGCUGGAGGCUCCCUGGUUAGGAAACCCUGCUAUACAGCAUCAAGGCUCCCUUUAUUUCUUUAUUACAGAAUAAAUCUCUGUGUUGCCUCUUGGAGGCGCUGUAUAUUCCCCCUACUUCAAUAAUUUAGCAUGUGAUGGAACAUGUCACCUGCCGUACAGCAUGGAUCCAUAGAUUACCCUGCAACCGUACGGAUCAAAUAUGUCAAACAAUAGGGGGUUAUCCAGUAAAAUACCACCACCCCGUCCUGACAUUGUGUGCGGUAUUACAACUUUGCUCUAUUUACAUCAGUGGAACCGAGCUGCAAUACCACACACAACCAGAGGACAGCUGUGGCGCAGUUUUUUUUUUCCUUCAACUCUGUAAUCCUGAACAAACUUCUUUAAAAAGUGGUUAUCCAGGACUAGAAAAACAAAACUGAUUUCUUCAAAAAAACAGCCCCACCCUUGUCCUCAGGUUGUGUGUGGUAUUGCAGCUCAGCUCUAUCGAAGUGAAUGGAGAAAAGCUCCCAUACCACACACACACAACCUGAGGACUGGGAUGGCGCUGUUUUGGGAGGAAUUAGUUAUGGUUUUCUAUUCCUGGACAACCCCUUUAGGGUCCGUUCACACAGGCGGAUUACCUGCAGAAUUUCCGUAGCGUACUUGCGGAGGAAAAUUCACAGCGUAUUUUGCUACCAUUUACUUUAAUGGGUCUGCAGAAAAUCCGCAAUAGAGGCAGAUUUGCAGAUUUUCCAUCAGGCCCAUUAAGUUCAAUGGUAGCAAAAUCCGACGCAGAUUUUCCACAGAAAAUAUGGUGCGGAAGUUCCACAGGUAAUCUGCCCGUGUCAACGUACCCUUAAUCCAUUUCUUCGUCCAGUUUUGUUUGUGGGAUCUACUUACAUACUGAAGAGUCCAACCUAAAAUCCUACUGUGUUGAUCCAGAGGAAGGAAAAAAAAAAAAAUAUAUAAAAAAAUUUAAAACUCCCCAAAAAAAAAGAAAAAUUCCUUUCCGCUCCUCCUAAAUCCGGGGACGUCGAUAAGUCGAAUUACUCUUUGUAUUAUUCCACGAUAUGGCCAAGUGCGCGAGCCCCAUUAUGAUCAACCAGACUGUAUGACGCGAAAUAAGGGGCGAAACACGUAGGGAUUUAUUAAGAGCAAAAAACGUACUUUAUUACAUAACAAGCUUCAUAAAACAAAAAUAAAACAGGAAGCAUUCAAGCAUUGAACAAUACAAUAAGAUGCUGUAAAAGUCGCUCCAUUCAAGUGUUUGGAGGGCAGCUAAACAUUGAGAUACUUUAUACCUUCUCCUGGGAAGUGUCACAAAGCUAGCUUUGGUUGUUUUUUGUUUUUUAAUGUUUUUUUUUAAUUUUUAUUAUUGUUAUUCUGUUACGUAAUAAUCAAAGCCCCCCCCAAAAAAGUGUGCGAGACCAUAAAAAUACAUUUUUAUUACAGGCCUCCUGACACAUUAGUCCUUUUUUAUUCAUCGGGUAGGGGGGGUGGGGGUAGUGGCGGGUGGGCAGAUGGGGGAAAGUGAUGGGUGCCUGCAGCACAUUGUGUCACUUAAUACCGUGCAGGGUACCCACUCAUUUCCUCUAACCCCCCCUCCCUUCACCAGCCCCCCCCCCCCCCCCCCCCCCAACCUUCAAUAAGAGCAGGGCCAGGAUUCACUACAGUACUGUUUGCAAUAAGUUACAGAUAAAGUGUUUGUCUUAUUGAAAUACAGAAGGCGGACUUGAAAUGACUACCGUACGAGGAUCACAGCGCACUCAUUGGCAGGUUAGACCAACGUGUCUAGCUACACAAUACAAAAAACACCAUUGUGCUGGUAAAGCACCGGGGAGGGAGGGAGGGCGGGGGGGGGGGUAAGAUGCAAGACAAAAUGUGCUAGAUACAAAGAAAAUACAAUGCUAUUUAGUCACUGCUGGGUUGUUCUUUAACUGAGGUAUAAAGGCGGUAAAAAGCAUACUCAAGUGUUAAUAUCAAUUGUCAUUUCCAAGCGGCUGUGUCCUGUAUAUAUAUAUUUUUUUCAAGUUACAAGUUUAGUGCAGGAUAGUACAGUUAGAAACAUAUUCUGGCAGAGUCCUCUUUAAAGCAGGGCCCCGAUUCCCAGGCCGUGGCGGCAGCCAUUUUUUGAAAUUUUUAUUUAUUUUUAUUUUUUAACAGGCUUGUCAUGUAGCGGUUUCUUUUGUGCAUUGUGACAGUUCAGAGGGGAAACACCACAACAUGUCGUCGUUACCCCCCCUCGCCUGUAUAAAACAAACUAAAAAUAAAAAAAAUGGCCGCUUCCUACGGCGCAGGUGGUGUCGGGUUGGCUUUAAGGUUUUUCCCAGAUAAAAUCUAAGGCUAUAUUGUUUAUAUACCAGGAACAAACGCUGAAGUGUUUGCCUCGUACAUCACAAAUAUUACACUUCUCCUCUGAUUAUUCAACACGUUUCACACCACUAAAUAUUUAAAAAAAAAAAAAAAAAAAAAAGUCCGACCCACGUGUAAUGGUUUCUAUUAAAUCGGGCCGCAAAAAAAAAAAAAAAAUAAAAAAUACACAAACAAACCAUCUAUCAAAAGGCUAAGCAGCGAGAAGUACAUGGUUCACUAAUCUCAAAACUUCAUCAAAUCGAAAAAAAAACAAAAAACAAAAUAAAAAAUAAAAUUGUAAAAUGUACAAUCAUUAUUUUUCUCUAUCUGUAAACAGUUAAAAAGCCACAAGGUUGAUUUGUAUCGUCUGACACAAAACUAUCAGAGUCAAGGCAAUGAGCAAAUGGCAAUGUGUGCAGAGUGGAACGGGCCGGGGUGUGUUUUUUUUUGUUUUUUUACUUUAUUCAUUAAUUUUUUGCAAAUUGAGGCAGGAAUCACACAUGCAGUUUUUAUUUUUACAUUUUUUUUUAUUACUUUUUUUUUUGCGCCAUAGGCAGAAGUUGGAUCCAGCAGGAACAGGAAAUAUAAAAAGGGACUUUAUGCUCCUCCUUCCUGCUGGGAUCUACCUACCUCUGCAUGUGUUUCUGGCCUUUUAAGUCAGGAAAGAGAAGCUGCACCGGAUCUGUGGGUUUAAACCUGGAAUUGGUUGGAAUAUUAAUGCACCAUGUGUAAAUUUUUCUCUUUCAUAAUAAAAAUAAUAAUAAUAAUAAUAAUUAUAAAACUGGCUUUGGUUGUCCCAAAUAAUUUUUUUUUUUUAAGAACCCACAGUAAAUCUUGCUCCUAUCAUCCCCCUUCCCCAUCCCGGCAAUGGGCUGGAUAAGUAUUGUGCCCGCUGAUGGGUAUGUGGGGGGGGGGGGGGGGGUUAUAAACAUAUGUGGGGCUCAGAUUAGUGGUUUGUCUUCUUGGCAGAUGCAUGAAAUAAGGUGCAUAUAAGAUCAGUGCUUCCCAACCAGGGUAGCAGAGGCGGCUAUGAUCUGGACUGAUGUGCGUGAGAAUUCAGGCAAUCCAAUGAUUCAAAAGUUAAAAGGGGUUGUAGGAGAAGAGAAUAAAAAAAAAUAUAAAAAAAAAAAAAAGACAAAAACACGGCUGCGUUCUGAAAUGGUGCCGCUUUUGUCUAUAGGCCAUGCCUGGUAUUGCAUUAUUCACUUAAAUAGGGCUAAGUCCGGCGUGACAAUCCUGGGAGGAACUGCAUAUGUUCCAAAGUGGGUAGGUUUGCAGCUCUAUUGAAAAGUGCUGUUUAAAAAAUAAAAAAUAAUAAUAAUAAAAUGAAAUCAUAGCCAUCUCCUCCUAUACAACCCCCUUUAUAAGGUUCACGUUGAACCCGUCACAGUGAUAUCACCCUAUUGAAUUGCAGCAUUCUCUAUAGAUCAGUUCGUACAAUGGCUGCCGAUUUCAUGUAGUUAUUUACACAGUAAAAGUCUCAUUCACCUUUAUAAAAAAAAUAAAAAAUAAAAAAUAAAAAAAUAAUUCAUUCUGAUUCUGACUUUACAUGCAUGAUCAAGUUCUGUAAGUGUGCAUGUGCUUUCAAUGGGAGGGGGUAGGAAUAAACUGCUGCCAGACACCUUAAGUAGCGGCUUAUCUCCAUAAAGAGUAUGUUCACACGGGAGGGGGGGAAUGUCGGCACAGAGAAUCUCCGUGCGGACAUUCCCCCCUCUGAGCGCUGGCAUAACAUGGCGGCGCUAGGACCGCUCGGGAAUGCGGCGUCUCAUAGACGGCAAUGCAUACCGUGCGUUGUCCGCAGAAAGAAUAGACAUGUCUAUUCUUUUUGCGGACACUGGAAGUUGAAUUUCCGAGCCUGCGAAUGGCGCGGCAGAAUCGCAUUGAAUUCAAUUGGACUCUGCUGCUGCGGAAUUCCACAAGGAAAUUCUGCCAUGUGAACAAAGGUGGUGGUAAAAAAUUAGGCACGGAGAUGCCAUAAGCCUGGUCGUUCUGUCCCCAAGUAAGUCGGCACACCCCCAUACACACGAUAAGACAGCAGCUUGGCUUCGGCUGAGAUAUCUAAUUUUAUGUAUUUAGGGUGCAGACAACAUUUGGAGAGUGUCAUAAACAGAAAAUUUAGGGUCCUAAGUACUGCUAUAAAAGUUGCAAAAAAGACUUACAUGCCACAUCAUCCACUAAUAUGAGACGCCCAACAUAUGUUUACUAUGGACCCAGCAUUGACGCACUCCUGGGCAGAACGGGAGCAGGCCUGCUGUAACCUCCCCUGCAAAGAGGAAGAAAUAGAAAAGAAAAAAAAAAACACCUCGGUAGAAGAGGCGAGAGUGUAACUGCUGGUAACCCCUGUCCCCCACUAUUCUGUGCUGUGGAAGGGUCAAAGGUCAGGAUUUACACUUCAAUAUAUAUAGAUUUUUUUUAUCCUUGUUCAGUUUUUUUUUUUUUUUUUUUUAAUUCUUUGACCAAACAAGCAGAAAAAUACCAUUUAUGGCAACAACAUAUUAUGUAACGUGUUCCUUUUUUUUGUAAUAUUAAGUAUUUGCAAUCAUUUACGUCUACACAUUUAAAAAAAAAAUACAUUUUUUUUCCUUUUUUUUUUUUCUGUUUGUACAACACACGAGAAAAAUGAUCAGCCCAGUACUUGGUUACAAUGUGCAUAAAUGUGCAUAGUUACUAAAUAAUCAGCUUAGAGAAAAAAAAAAACAAAAAAAACAUUAAAACACUGUCACAAGCGAAGACACUGAGCCACAUCAUGAAAGUAACAUAAAAGAAAAAACAAACAAUAGGAUCGUUUUUAUCAGCAAAAAAUAAAAAUAAAAAAAAAUCUCCAGACUACUCACUAAAGAAGACACAGCAUCAAAAGCAAAACCAGCUCUUUAUCUGGAAAGAGACAGGUAAGGGGUGGGGGGGAAAUUUUUUGGCAGAGAGGAAGAGUCAUUGAGAAAUUAGCACGAUUAGUGCCGAAAACAUCAACAAACAAUUGCAUUUUUUCUAGUGAUUUUUUUUUGUUAUAUCGGGGAGAAGGAACUCUUUUCACCUAUCUUAUUCCUGAGCGCCAUGAUGGUUUUCCCCUAUUUUGGAUUAAUAAAGUUUGUAAGAAAAAAAAAAAACACGCACACAAAGACAAUUUGACUCCCAGAGAUAAAAGCAUCUUCAGCAUAUUUUUUUUUGUGUGAUUUUUUUUAUAUAUUUUUUUGUCUUUAAUCUGAUGGAAGAGUAAACAUUUAAAAAAAAAAAAAUUAAAAAAAAAUCCCACCCUCCCAAAAACAACAACCACCCUCCCAAAAGGACAAAAAAUAAAAUAAAUGUAAACGAGAGGUUCCAGGUAAGGCGCCUCUAAAACAAAACGCAAAGCCUUUGAAAGUGCUGCCCCCUACUGGCACACGUAGGGUGUAUGUCACAGCUGUGGCCACUAUUUUUUUCUUUUUUUCAUUUUUAAUUUUUUUUCUUUUUUUUUUAACAUAUAUAUAUUUUUAUAUUAAAACCAUAGAGCUAAAUUCUAUUAGGUUUUAGUCAUGAAAACCUGGUGCAAUACUUUUCAUUUUUUCUUUAAACUAAGUUAUAACUGUCAGUUCUUUUUAACCCCCUUUCCCCCCUCCAGCGCUGGAGGCACCGGAGGUCCUGACGCACUGCUCCGCAAUGGGCCGGCCCCUGUGUCGCUCAAGGGCUAGAGGGGUGGGGGGGGGUAAAACUUUGUAAUACCACAAUUAGGUAGGUAUAUCAAGGCAUCUUAGAAAUAACAAGCAGUAAAUCACUUAUGUGUUUGUCUUAAGUACACGCUAGAGUAAACAGUUACACUUGAGCCGUUUCCGAUAAACAUAAAACGUGACGCACCUUUCAGUGCAACAGAGAAACUGGGGAGACACGGGGAGGGGCAGAUGGGUAGAUACCGAGCUCAGACAUAAAAAUUGGGAUCGGACAUUGGAGAAAAAACCCAAAAA